rnacentral:rRNA from 1 species
AACGAACGCUGGCGGCAUGCCUAACACAUGCAAGUCGAACGAAGCCUUCGGGCUUAGUGGCGCACGGGUGCGUAACGCGUGGGAAUCUGCCCUUGGGUUCGGAAUAACAGUUAGAAAUGACUGCUAAUACCGAAUGAUGUCUUCGGACCAAAGAUUUAUCGCCCAAGGAUGAGCCCGCGUCGGAUUAGCUAGUUGGUGAGGUAAAGGCUCACCAAGGCGACGAUCCGUAGCUGGUCUGAGAGGAUGAUCAGCCACACUGGGACUGAGACACGGCCCAGACUCCUACGGGAGGCAGCAGUGGGGAAUAUUGGACAAUGGGCGAAAGCCUGAUCCAGCAAUGCCGCGUGAGUGAUGAAGGCCUUAGGGUUGUAAAGCUCUUUUACCCGGGAUGAUAAUGACAGUACCGGGAGAAUAAGCCCCGGCUAACUCCGUGCCAGCAGCCGCGGUAAU